UCGUACCAAGAACCGACACAGGUGUCCCUAGGUGAGUAGCCUAAGGCGUGUUAGCAUAAUCUAGGCGAGGGAACUCGGCAAAUUAGCCCUGUAACUUCGGGAUAAAGGGUGCCAGUAGUGUGAGCUACUGGUCGCAGUGGCAAGAGAACUCCGACUGUUUAAUAAAAACAUAGGUCCCUGCUAGUUCGAAAGGAUGUGUAUAGGGGCCGAAGCCUGCCCAGUGUUGGCAUCUGAAAAUCUGUUUCAACGGAUCGAAGGACCAAUAAACGGCGGGGGUAACUAUGACCCUCUUAAGGUAGCGUAAUACCUUGUCGCUUAAUUGGCGACUUGCAUGAAGGCUCAACGAGAGUUCUACUGUCCCCGCCUAGACGCUAGUGAAAUCAAUCAGUCUGGUGCACAAUCCAGACCCCUCCAUCUGAAAGCGAAGACCCCAUGGAGUUUCACUGCAACCUGUUGUUGUUGUAAGAAUUGGCACGUGUAGGGUAGGCGGGAGACGUUACCCAGGAAGGUGCGCUAGCAUCUCUCCGAGUCUACGAUGAAACACCGCCCCUGCUGAUUUUUACGACUCACCUCUUAGGAGGAACAGCUAUAGGCAGGCAGUUCGGGUGGGGCGCCACGCCCUCAAAAAGAUAACAAGGGCGCCCAAUGGUUAGCUCAGGUAGGUCAGAAAUCUACCGAAGAAUGUAAAGGUAAAAGCUAGCUUGACUCGGAACCAGACAAUAGGGUUCGGAGAUAGGAAACUAUGGCUUAGCGAACCAAUCAACCUCCUGAAUGGGGGUGAUUGAUGUCAGAAAAAUUACCCUGGGGAUAAUUGAGUUGUCACGAGCAAGAGUUCAUAUCGACCUCGUGGCUUGCUACUUCGCUGUCGGCUCUCCCUAUCCUGGUGGUGCAGCAGCUGCCAAGGGUGGGGUUGUUCGCCCAUUAAAAGGGAUCGUGAGCUGGGUUUAAAACGUCGCGAGACAGUUUUGUUGCUUUUUGAUGGAGGUGUAGGUGCCUGACGAGAAGGAUCCUUUAGUACGAGAGGAACAGGGAUUCGUCGCCUCUAGUUUAUCAGUUGUCUGACAAGGCAUGCUGAGUAGCCACGCGAUAGCGGAUAAGAGCUGAAUGCAUCUAAGCUCGAAGCCGCCUUGAAAAAGAGGCACCCAUAGAACACUCAUAAAUGAUGAGUUUGAUAGAAGCCGGAUGUAAGUACCGAGGGUUUCCGAGGUAUUCAGUCCUGGCUUACUAACGUUCUUCGACGCCGCU
rnacentral:rRNA from 1 species